rnacentral:rRNA from 1 species
GCUUGGCUUCUUUGCUGACGAGUGGCGGACGGGUGAGUAAUGUCUGGGAAACUGCCUGAUGGAGGGGGAUAACUACUGGAAACGGUAGCUAAUACCGCAUAACGUCGCAAGACCAAAGAGGGGGACCUUCGGGCCUCUUGCCAUCGGAUGUGCCCAGAUGGGAUUAGCUUGUUGGUGGGGUAACGGCUCACCAAGGCGACGAUCCCUAGCUGGUCUGAGAGGAUGACCAGCCACACUGGAACUGAGACACGGUCCAGACUCCUACGGGAGGCAGCAGUGGGGAAUAUUGCACAAUGGGCGCAAGCCUGAUGCAGCCAUGCCGCGUGUAUGAAGAAGGCCUUCGGGUUGUAAAGUACUUUCAGCGGGGAGGAAGGGAGUAAAGUUAAUACCUUUGCUCAUUGACGUUACCCGCAGAAGAAGCACCGGCUAACUCCGUGCCAGCAGCCGCGGUAAUACGGAGGGUGCAAGCGUAAUCGGAAUACUGGG